rnacentral:ncRNA from 1 species
AUAUUUGGGAAUUAAAAGGGAAUGUAGUGUAAAUCUACAACAGUUCCCGCUGCUGUAAGUUUCUUUAAGAAUUUAAUGAAUCUAGCCACUGACACGUGUUGUCGGGAAGGCAUUUAAAUUUGAAACGAGUCAGAAGACCUGCCACUGUAAAC